rnacentral:rRNA from 1 species
AGAGUUUGAUCCUGGCUCAGGAUGAACGCUGGCGGCGUGCUUAACACAUGCAAGUCGAACGAAGCGGUUACAGGGAUUCCCUUCGGGGAGGAACGGUAACUGUCUGAGUGGCGGACGGGUGAGUAACGCGUGGGCAACCUGCCCCAUACCGGGGGAUAACAGCCGGAAACGGCUGCUAAUACCGCAUACGCCCAGGAGGCUGCAUAGCUUCCUGGGGAAAACUCCGGUGGUAUGGGAUGGGCCCGCGUCUGAUUAGCUCGUUGGCGGGGUAACGGCCCACCAAGGCGACGAUCAGUAGCCGGCCUGAGGGGGCGGCCGGCCACAUUGGGACUGAGACACGGCCCAGACUCCUGCGGGAGGCAGCAGUGGGGAAUAUUGCACAAUGGGGGAAACCCUGAUGCAGCGACGCCGCGUGAGCGAUGAAGUAUCUCGGUAUGUAAAGCUCUAUCAGCAGGGAAGAAAGUGACAGUACCUGACUAAGAAGCCCCGGCUAACUACGUG